AUUGAACGCUGGCGGCAUGCUUUACACAUGCAAGUCGGACGGCAGCACAGAGAAGCUUGCUUCUUGGGUGGCGAGUGGCGAACGGGUGAGUAAUAUAUCGGAACGUACCGAGUAAUGGGGGAUAACUAAUCGAAAGAUUAGCUAAUACCGCAUAUUCUCUGAGGAGGAAAGCAGGGGACCUUCGGGCCUUGCGUUAUUCGAGCGGCCGAUAUCUGAUUAGCUAGUUGGUGGGGUAAAGGCCUACCAAGGCGACGAUCAGUAGCGGGUCUGAGAGGAUGAUCCGCCACACUGGGACUGAGACACGGCCCAGACUCCUACGGGGGGCAGCAGUGGGGAAUUUUGGACAAUGGGCGCAAGCCUGAUCCAGCCAUGCCGCGUGUCUGAAGAAGGCCUUCGGGUUGUAAAGGACUUUUGUCAGGGAAGAAAAGGCUGUUGCUAAUAUCGACAGCUGAUGACGGUACCUGAAGAAUAAGCACCGGCUAACUACGUG
rnacentral:rRNA from 1 species